CUACAGCAUGCCUCCUCUUCUUCUCCUACCAGCCAGGUUGAUUGCUGUGUAAUCUUCCUCCUCUGAACAAUGUCUGACAAACUCACCUUCAAAGUUGCUGACAUCAGCCUGGCAGAAUGGUGCCGAAAGCCGAUUGAGAUUGCGGAGAAUGAGACGCCCAGAUUAAUGAAGAUGAGGAAAAUGUACUCUGAGACCAAGCCUCUGAAAGGAGCAAGGAUUGCUGGGUGCCUCCACAUGACGCUCCAGAGCACAGUGCUUAUAGAGACUCUGACAGCACUCGGAGCUGAGGUGCAGUGGUCCAUCUGUAACAUCUU